rnacentral:ribozyme from 13 species
AUAAAGAGAGCGAGAAGAAGAGAAAAUGAAGAAGAAGAAUGACAAAAAGUGAAUAGUAUUCUCUUCUUCUCUCUUCUCUCUUCUCUCUUCUUAUCUUCUUCUGGUGUUUUAAACCUCUUCAGAAAAAAGAAAUCCUUAACAAUCGUCAAGAGAGAAGAGAAAGAGAAGAGAAAGAGAAGAGAACGAGAGAGAAAAGCAUCUCAAAAAACCGUGAUUUUCUCGUUUUUGGU